UUCGGAAGGGGGAAUAAUAAUAAGAACAUUUCUUCAACUGCAUGCUACAAGAUUGCUCGAUAGCUACGCGCUAGCUAGCGAGACGCGUGGGAUAGAUGGCUCCUCGUACGCCCGACGCCCGGCCCGUCAGAAGAUUCAGACGUCGACGGUGCAGUCGGCGGGGUGGGUGAACUUGAGGGAGACGGUGGUGUUGACGCCGGCGGGGACGGCGGCGCCGCUGACGGCGAACGCCCCUCCCACGGCGGCGCCCGAGGUGGCGAGCAGGGCGGGGCAGUUGACGAAGAGGUGGUACCCGCCGGAGACCCAGCUCCCGACCUUCCACUUGACGCGGCCUUCCAGCUUGACGUGGAGGAGCACGUACCCGGCCGAGAUGUCCUGCCUCAUGGCGUCCGCCACGUACUGCGACACGGGGACGGCGUCCCCGGACAUGACGGGGGACCACACCGACGCGUCCUUGUGGCCCUGGUAGAUCGACGGCAGCGACACGGGCACCGUCACCGGCUCGUCCCGGUACGUCGUGAACGCGUCCAGGGUCUUGUAGUACACGCCCACGCGCUCGUUCGG
rnacentral:lncRNA from 1 species